GCAGGUUUCAUCUAUAAAAAUAUACGUCAAAAUUACCAAAUGUCUGACAUCCAAUAGCCGAUGAUCAAUAAAUCAAUGUGCUCUAGUGGUGUCGUUAAACAAAACAAAACUUUUUAACAAUUUUCGUAAAUCUAACAGUGUUCCUUGUUGUCCUUGGUGUUUGAAGUAACUCAAAAUUUAUUUUAUGUUAAACAAAAACGAUAUGUACCUCAAACAUUAGUGUCGGUGGCUUUAAAAAAAGAUUAACUGUCUUGAUAAAUCAAACUGGGAAUUUGACAUAAACUGAAAAUAAUUUAACACACUGACAUACAUGAAAACUAAAUUGCAUAGUACUGAAAGUGUAUACAAAAAAAGUACAUCCGAGGUGGUGGAAAUUUCGACCCGGGAUGAGGCUUGGUAAGGAACUUCCAAUAACAUUCUUUGACUUCAACUUUAAUUCUUUCUAUUUUAAGUGCUAUAAUGACUUUGUUAUUUUAAUUUUUAAAAUAUAAAGAAUUUUACUAAUAACGAAAUCUGCAUGGUUACUACAAAUUCUUUUGGACUAGAAAACUGAGCAUAAUUUGCUUCAAGCUGUAGGCAGGAUAAAGUUAAAAUUGGAUUAAGCAUUUUAAUUGACAGAAGAGAACAUAAAUCUAAAAUAUGGGAGAGUCUAAGAACUUUUCAUCUUUGCAUAAGUGUGUGUGAGUUUGUGUGUGUGUGCGUUAAUGCACAAUGUGUGUGUAUGUGUGUGUGGUCUUUGUUAGCCACAUGUUUGUGUGUGCGUGCGUUAAUGCACAAUGUGUGUGUAUGUGUGU